rnacentral:rRNA from 1 species
UACGGAGGGUGCAAGCGUUAUCCGGAUUCAUUGGGUUUAAAGGGUCCGUAGGCGGGCUGAUAAGUCAGUGGUGAAAUCCUAUCGCUUAACGAUAGAACUGCCAUUGAUACUGUUAGUCUUGAGUAAGGUAGAAGUAGCUGGAAUGUGUAGUGUAGCGGUGAAAUGCAUAGAUAUUACACAGAACACCGAUUGCGAAGGCAGGUUACUAUGUCUUAACUGACGCUGAUGAACGAAAGCGUGGGUAGCAAACAGG